rnacentral:lncRNA from 1 species
UCUGAUCGUCUGAGUCUGCCUCCCUGGGACUGAGGCGGAUCCAGAGGGCACAUCACAGCUGGACGCUCAGAACAGAGGCCCCGGGGCCAGCCAGGGUCCUUGGCCUGAGUCAUGGCAACAGAAGCCAAUCGAGCAGCCACAGUUACCCCCAGGUCUGGAGCUGAAGGGCUCCCUCCGUGGCAGGGCCUCAGCCACCCCCAGCCUGGCCAGACAGAUCAACCCCAGAAAGUCCCGCCCCAGGAGAAGCCCAGGAGGAGGAGCCGCCGUCUCAAGGAGCUGGGGGCCUGCCAUGUUGUCGUCGCUCUGCUGUACGUGUUCCUUGGGGGUUACCUGGCCGCCAUCGUCCAGAGCCUUCACCUGGUGGUGCUGAAGUCUUGGUAUCCGUUCUGGGGGGCUGCUUCUGUGAGUAGAGGCCAAAACAUUGGCCCAGUGGGGGUAGGGAGAGCUGGCGACCCUGGGAACCGGAUGCAGGGUGGGGCAGAGGGAGCCGGUAGGAGGACAGCAGCCUCAGCGCCUUUCUCAGUCCUCCCAGCUCUGCCUCUGCUCUCUUGGUCACACUGGAAGUAGCGCCGUCUCCUAAUUCACACGGGGGCCCAUCAGAGAGGAGGGUGAACAUGAGCUGGGGAGCUACCUGCAGCUUCUUCAGGCUUCUGGGCAGCCAGGCACCUCCGGAUCCAGCCACCCAUCCCUGGUGCCUAAAGUCUCUGUCAGGGUCCAGCUGCAGGGCACAAGGAUGUAAGGCCCAGCUCCGGUCCUCCCAAGGCCAUCAGCCAGGGCGGGCGAUGAGAGAAGGGCAGGGAGCACCUUCCCGGAGGCCCUCCAGGGUAUCCUCCCCACCCCCCACCCCCCGUCCUGGCAGGGUCCCACUCACACACCAAGUCCCAGCUCCUCAGCACCCCUCAGGCAGGUGUCCCAACUCUUCCUGCUGUCACUUCAGUCCUCUUUCCCCUCUGCACCCCACCCCCAGAGCUUUCAGUGCAUAGGGAAGGGAACCAUCUCUGCAUCACCUCGACUGGUGCAUAGCAGGCGCUCAGUGCACAUGUGAUAGAAUAAUUGCAGGAAAACACCAGAGACCCCAGAACCAAGAGCAAAUAUCCUCCAAACGACAGGACCCAGGAAAGGAGCAAGGGUCGGCGCAAAGGGGGCAGUGCAGCUGAUCCCCACGGGAGGGUCUGGGCUGGUAAAAGGGGGAAGCGAGGGGACCAGGAGGGCAUUCUUGAGCCCAGGAGAGAAGGUCCGUGCACACAGGGAAGACCAGCCUGGCUGGAGCGUGAUCUGUGGGCAGGGUGAGCCCCCUUUGUUGGAGGAAUGGUGUUCUCUGCCCCACCAGCCACCAGAGAUUGAUUUUCUAAGAGCAUAGCAGGAAGGGAAUGUGUGAGUUUCAAGGAACCCCAGCUUCUCUCUUAUGACUGUUUCAAAUCUGGUCCGCAGUUCCUCAUUUCAGGGAUCUUGGCAAUAACAAUGGAGACAUUUCAGAAAAAUUACCUGGUAAGUCACAGCGUUGAGAGUGUUCCCUUCCAUCCCAAGCCUGGGGUGACUUUUCAACGGGCAUCGUUUGGAGUGGGGACUCAAGAGGCAUCUCUCCAGGAUUUGCUAGACGUGGGCACCAGCCUCUGGGACAGCAGAGGGCGUCCGGGCUGAAUGGUCCCCCUUCCUGGAGUUCUGACCUCACACCCUGACUCCCGCCUUUCUCUCCACCUGCUGCCCUCUCCCCACCCCGGUUCUGGCCUAGAGACAGGCAUCAUCCAACCUGUUGAUGGUAGCCUUGGAGAUUGUUCUGCCAGCCCUACCUUGGCCCCCCUGGGCCCCGCCAUCAUACUCCCUACCCCACCCCACCCAAGGCUUGCCUCCAACAUCAGCAAGUCUACCUGCCUGCAGGCUGGACCACAGCUGGGUUUCCAUAUACGUCUCACCUCUAAGCGCCAGCUGGACACAAGUGGUCCCCCCUGUGCUCUGUGCUGUCUCGUGCCCAGACACCUUGCCUUUCCCCACUGUGCAUGUUCUCCUGGCUUUGACUUCCUCCUGAUCAUUCUUCAAGGCGUACUUUACAUGCCUCCUCCUCCAGGCAGUCUUCCCUGACCUGCCCUGGCUGGCUCCUGUGUCCCCACAGCUCCUUGGACUUCUCUGUCUCCUUUCUCUCUCAGGCACUAAGCUUGGGCAGCAACUGCCUGAGCAUCUUUCUAGCCCGAGGCAGCCCAGGGAGGCACAGAGUGGACACCCACAUGAGCCCAAGUGGAUGGAGGUGGAUGGGGGCGGGAAGGACCUUCCCAUCCACCCUGUGUCAUGGCCUCAGCACCCCCUCCACCCCCAAGCCCUGCCUGGGUCCACAUUCAUGCCUCCCAUUGCUGAUGAACGGGGAUGGCCUGUCUCUUCUGUGAAUUCACAGGAUCUGAUGGAAAAAAGGGAAGACUCGCCAUCCAGCUUCUCCACUUCCCACCACCUCCCUCUCCCCAAGGGGCAGGGCAGCCCAGGCAUGGUCCCUUGCUCCUCCCUGGCUUGUGCUCUGGCUGUCCCCACCGCCCUCUGUCCGCAGGAGCAGUCUUUGCUGGGGCUGGGGACGUGGAGUAUGGGGCAGGGUGUGGUGCAUCCGAGCUCGUUCAGCCAGGACGUGCGCAAAACUCAUCUCGGUCAAGCACCAAGGCCGGCUCACAUUCGUGCCUCCCAGACCGGGCUGGACUGGCUGCCCCCUGCCCUCUUGGGGUGUAGCAGACAAAAGCAUGUUGUGCCACUUACCCAGCAGAGGCAGGGAUGCUUGGCAGAAACCUGGCCAUUCCUCCUGGGCUGGGCCCCUUCCAGACCCAUAAGCCUACCCCUUCCUACACCUGAACGCGGGGAGCCUCUCAUUGCAGAGAAAUCCAUUCUAGCAUAAGAGGUUGGGGUGCCUUAUGUUUAUACCCUUUCCCCGUUAUAGGGGUUUGUACUUGGCAAGAAUCCCGUGGAAUAAGGUGAGACCCAAGACGAUGAGGAAUGAGGCAUUUCCGGGGCUAUGGCGGGCAGGGAAGGGGGUGACCUGAGUGAGUGAAGAUAGGGCACUUUCGGGGCUCAUCCCACCUGGGUCGGGGGGCCAUUUGGGUGUCGAGACUCUGAUCAGUUAGCAUAUCUGCUGCCAGGAUGACUGGGAACAGCUUGGAGAGAAAGACGGCAGAGCAGGGGGUGGGGCUUCCUUCCUUAUUGCAAAGCCUGUGGAUCCAGAGGUGGUCCUUGCAUUCUCUGGGUCCCAUCCCAUAGAAGGCGAGGGCCAGUUGGGGCUCCUCGUGGUCAGCCAGCUCAGAAAGCUGUGUGUGGGUGAACUUCUGGCCCAGAGACAGGCAGCAUUUUCCUGAGGUCACAAAGUGAGCUACUGGCUGGCCUGCGUGGAGGACCAAGGACUCAUCUCUGACCUUUGGACUACGGCUGUCACUUUUUUUUUGCUUGUAGGCGGCGUGCCUGACAGCAAAUGCCAUCAGCUUCUUCUGUGUGCUCUGUGGCCUCUUUGUCAUCGCCAAGGAUCUCUUUCUGGAGAGCCCAUUUGACUUCCCUGUCUGGAAACCAUACCCCAACGACACAGUCCACAUCCAGAGGCUGGUGCUGGCCCUGCUCUGCGUCACCUGCCUGGAGGUCUUCCUGCCGGGGCUCAUGGCCAUCCUGGCCUACAGGGAUACCCGCCUGGCUGCAGAGGUGAGGGCCUUCGGGAGAUGGGAAGCAAGGCUACAGAGGGCUCGGGAAGGGGAGCAUCAGGCAGAGGGAGUGUAGCCAGGCAUUUACUAAGUGGGACCACAAACAGAGGCCACCCACAGUCUGGUAGAGGAGAGAAGCAUGGGAGGAGGGGCAGUGCCAAUUCGAAGGGAAAAAUGUGGGGCCACUGAAGAGGACAAGGCCAUGGACACUCCAAACAAUGGGUUGCUAUGUUCUGCCCACCCCCUGUGAUCUCAUGGGGGAGAUCCAUGGAAGUUGGCAGGAUCCAGACCCAGACCACAGGUAUGACAGGACAGUGGGGAGUUCCCACUGUGUCUCAGCAGUAAGGAACCCAGCUAGUAUCCAUGAGGACGAGGGUUCAAUCCCUAGCUAGGCUCGUCUGGAUCUGGCACUGCUGUGGCUGUGAUUUGAUUCGACCCCUAGUCUGGGAACCUCCAUAUGCCAAGGGUGUGUUCCCCCCAAAAAGCCCCAAAAAACACCCCUCCAAAAAAGAUGGGAGAAGGACCAGCAGGUGCAAUGGCUGAGAGACAGGCCAGGAAAGGCUGUCAGUUGCAGCAUGUGGUGGGGUGUGGCUGUGAUGAGAGCCAGUGGGGCCGGGAUCACAGGGACUGAGCACCUCAGGGGUACCAGGCAGGUACUUUAGAGAAGCAUGACUUCUCUCAUCUUCCCAACCACCCUCCGAGGUAGGUACUGACUCCCCCAUUCCAUAAAUAAUUAAACCGAGACCUAGAGAGGUCACAUCAGUUUCAAAGAUCAAACAGCCAUGACAUCCAGGGCUCAGCCCGAGGUGUGUCUCACCCACACUUUUGUGAACUCAGGGGAUGGCAGAACAGCAGGCUGUGGCCAGAUAGGUUUGGAAAUCAAAGACAAGUCUCUCUCCAAUCCCAAAGGGAUUUCCCAGGCUCAUUUUUUUUUUAAAGGAAAAAAUUUCAUACUAUAAUCUUAACUUUAGGACACUAUUUUAAGACAUGUUCUAAAUUCCCUAUAAUUUGGCAGCUUUAGCACUGCAAUUGUUUUCAUAGGACAUCCAGCCACUGAAUUUUCACAUAAUGCUGAUAUGACUUUAGGCUUGAGUUUUACCUAACACCGAGCAAAUAAGUUGUCCUAGUCACUGCCUGUCUGGCAAGAAGUCUUCUUAUUAAGUUUUCAGAGAGCUGGAAGGGCCCUUGAGUCACUGACACCCACCCCACUUUUUAAAAAUAACAGCACAAUGAAUUCUAUUAUAUUUAUAGUUGCACAACCAUCAUCACAACCUAAUUUUAGAACAUUUCCAUCCCAAACCCCCAGUCCACGCCACUUUUAAGGACAGGGAACCUUAACACUGUUCAUCCUGGCGACAGGAAUUUACCAAGUGCAGGGCACUGUGCUGAGUGCUGCAGGCGGCUGUAUCAGUCACCUAUUGCUGCUGUAACAAAUGAGCAUAACAUCAAAUGACGCAAAUGCAUUAUCUGACAUUUCCGAGGUCAGCAUUUGCAACAGGUCUCACUGGGCUAAAAUCAAACCGUGUGGGCCAGGCUGCCUUCCUUUCUGGAGGGUCUGGUGGAGAGUCUGUCUCCUCGCCUUUCCCAGCUUCUAGAGGUCACCCACGUUCCCUUCCUCCCUCGUCAAAGCCAGCAGCCCAGCAUCCUCUGAUAUCUCCCUCCUGUCUCCCUCUUAUUCUGUGGAGGACCCCUGGGACAACGUUGUCCCACCCAGAGAAUCCAAAACACUCUCCCCAUCCCAACCUUCACCUGAUUGGCAACCUUCAUUCCCUUUUGCUGUGUAAUCUAACAUGGUCACAGGUUCAAGGGUGAGGACACAGACACCUCCUUGAACCUCACGACCACCCAGAGAGGCAGGUUCAGCUUUCCCAUUUCUAAGAGGAAGAAUGAGGCUCAGAAGGGCUAAGUGACUCCCCAUGGUGACAGAACAGUAAGUGGAUGAGUGCCCAAGGCCUCUGAGCCCCCUGCAUCUGGGAACUGUGGCUAAGGACAAGCCCUGCAGCUUCCUGUCAUACUCAAGGACAAGGACUCCGCAGGAUUAGACCUGCCCCUAGAAUGCAUUCUAGCCUCAAGGGACCUUGAUGUAUCAGCUGGCCCAGCCCUGGGGGAAGGGGACGGGGUGAGUGGUGUGGGGGGGUCAGUAGCAUAUGGGUCGGGGGCCUGGCAUGAGGGCCAGGUCCACUGCCUCCCUGCCCCUUCCCCAGCCUCUCCCUGGAUCAGGGAGGGGGAGGGAGUCACACACUGGUCUCCUGGAAGUCCCUCCAUCUCUCGAGCCUCAGUUCCCCCACCUUCAUGGGGACUCAACACUCCAACAAGUGAGCCGCUGGGAAGGGCUUUGUCAACCACCACUCUCUCCGUGUAUGUGAGCAGCAGGGAUGGUGGCUCUUCUUUUGCAGCAGGAUGACCUGUCCCUUGGCCCUGACAUGCUGUUGGAGCUCAGGGGGUCUCCGAUGACACCUCCACCAUCCUAUGACGAUGUGACUAAAGGCAACGGGUGGCAGGAGCAGAAGCAGAUGUGAAGAGGCACUGGCUCCACGCACCAUCAGAAUUCACCCACUGGUCCCUUGUCCCGGACAGAUUAAGGACCAAUUCCAAGGGGCGGUUACCAGAAGGGGGCAAAUGGUACCGUGGCUAAAAACGUCUGCCCCAUGCUGGUGGCCAGGGAGAGGAAGUCCCCAUUCUGUCUGGCAUGGGAGGGACCUCCAGGUCCCCACGCCCCAUAACAUCCCAGCUGGACCAGAACACAACUGGGUCCUGCCCACCCACCCAGGCAGACACGGGAACAGACCCCUGGGUCCGCAGCCCCCUCCCCCACCCUCCUUGUCUGCUUCCCCCAGUCCCUGGUGGGCACAUAGACAUCCUGUCCACGUGGGGCUGUGCCUGAAGAGGAGAAGGGUCCUCAGAGCCCAGAUGGGCACCGUUUUCCCUGGACUCGACCUACCAAGGGGUCUCUACAAACACUUGUGUUUGAAUCCCUGGAUUCGGGGUGGAGACAGCAGGGGCGAUCAGACAGAAACUAUGACCAGUUCUUCCUCCCAAACCAUCAGCAUGUCUCCCCGCCCCCACCCCGGGGCCUCAGUGUCUCCAUCUGUACAGGGAAGGGGCGGGCGGAAGAUGUGACCAGGACCUACCUGCUGGGAAGUUCUGAGAUCAGAGUCAAGUUCACUCAAGGUUAUCAAGGAAGCAUCAGCAUCAGAAUUCCACACCUCCUUGUGCUGAGCGAAUAGUGGGGAGAGAGACCUACCUUCCUCAUUUCCCAAUUUUCAGUCAUCCAAGGGCCAACCUUACAAAUUUGGUCUAUUUGUGGACUGUGCUGUAUUCCCUUUAUGUUCCCUUAAAUUGCCUUUUUUUCUCAUGCACUAUUAUGUGAGGGGUAAUUUGCAUCAGCAACAAACAGGAAGUCUGUACCUAUCCAUACAAAGAAGCCAACCACAAAAAUCACGUAAACACGGUAAAAAUAAAACAAAAGCAACUUGUCGC